rnacentral:rRNA from 1 species
GUCCACGCCGUAAACGAUGAAUGCUAGCCGUCGGUGAGCUUGCUCUUCGGUGGCGCAGCUAACGCAAUAAGCAUUCCGCCUGGGGAGUACGGUCGCAAGACUAAAACUCAAAGGAAUUGACGGGGGCCCGCACAAGCGGUGGAGCAUGUGGUUCAAUUCGACGCAACGCGAAGAACCUUACCAGGCCUUGACAUCCCGAUUGCGGCCCCUUGAAAGAGGGGCUUUCAGUUCGGCUGGAUCGGUGACAGGUGCUGCAUGGCUGUCGU